rnacentral:rRNA from 1 species
CCUACGGGAGGCAGCAGUGAGGAAUAUUGGUCAAUGGGCGCGAGCCUGAACCAGCCAAGUAGCGUGAAGGAUGACUGCCCUACGGGUUGUAAACUUCUUUUAUAAAGGGAUAAAGUGAGGCACGUGUGCCUUAUUGUAAGUACUUUAUGAAUAAGGAUCGGCUAACUCCGUGCCAGCAGCCGCGGUAAUACGGAGGAUCCGGGCGUUAUCCGGAUUUAUUGGGUUUAAAGGGAGCGUAGAUGGGUCGUUAAGUCUGUUGUGAAAGUUUGCGGCUCAACCGUAGAAUUGCAAUUGAUACUGGCAGCCUUGAGUACAGUGGAGGUAGGCGGAAUUCGUGGUGUAGCGGUGAAAUGCUUAGAUAUCACGAAGAACUCCGAUUGCGAAGGCAGCUUACUAAACUGCCACUGACAUUGAUGCUCGAAAGUGUGGGUAUCAAACAGGAUUAGAUACCCCAGUAGUC